ACUACGUGUAUGUGGGCACAUCCAGUGGGCCUUAGAUGUGUGUCCCGAGUAAGGAGUUCUUUGGGGGAGCUCACAGACCCCAGCUUGCAACCACCUUGCUGCACCUUCUCUUCCGGGACUCAGACAACAAACGGCAGACCACAUGCUGCCUUUAGGGGCCUAGAAGAGUCCCUAGCCAACAGUAAGUGCACAAGAAAUACAUGUUGCUAUAAAUAAAGGAAUUCUGCCCCUGCUGAGCUGGCAGACUGAUGCCUAAGACGGAAGCCAACACAGACCAUCCCAAGGCAAUGCCUGAUGUUUUGUGAAAUGGGCACAGGAGGAGGCAGGGGGCAUGACAACGGAAGUCAUGGGGAAGCCAAGGUUAGAAAAAAAAAAAAGAAUGCGUCCCCCAUAUGAAGAGAGGAUAAGAGGGACGCUCCUGGCUGAGCAAACAGCAUGAACAAAGACCCACAGAACCCAGCCUCUGAGACUUGAGCUAUGCCUGAGGUCUCCACUUCCUGCCUGGACCUCAGGAGUACAGCCCCCCAGCCUUCAGCUGCCCCAGAGCCCCCACUGCAUCAGCGACCUGGGAGUCCAGCCUUCCGGCCUCUCUCACCUCAGCCUCCAGCAAUUCGGGAACAGGCUCCUCCUUGGUCAGCAUUGGGGGUUCAUCUGUGCUGCCUGCAGUUACGGCUCCAGGAUCUAAAACAUCAAGUGAAGAGACAUUCCCUGAGCAGCUGCUCUGUACCACAGCACAGACCUGGGGCCAGGGGAUACCGAGGAGGGUGCCGAGAACCUGGCUGCAAGCCAGGCAGAAGCCACAGGAAGGACAUGGAAGUGGGAUCUCGACAUGGUGAGCAGGAUUUGAUCAGGGAGACAAAUGGGGCACAUCUGAGGCAGACAGAACAUAUGUUUCAUAUGUUUAGUGAGUACAGAUUGUGAGGCUGGACUCCCUGGGUUCAAAUCCUGAUCUUGAGCCUGUAACUUAAUUCCUCUGGGCCUCAGUUUCCCCAUCUGUAAAUGGGGAUAAUGAGAAGUAAUUCCCACAGGAGACUGUGGCGAGCAUGAAAUGAGAUGUUAUGGAUAAAGCCCUUAGCUUUAUCCGGUGUCUUGCCCACAGCACCGGCUCAAUAAAUGCCUGUUGUUUUUCUCUUAGUAAAGGUGCGAUCGAGACACAGUCCACAGGCCCAGGUCAUAGUAUUGUUGGAAAGGAACAAGGAGACCAGCAGGGGUCACUCACUGGGCCCAAAGGGCAAAGUGGAGGAGUCAAAGGCCAUAGGGAGCCACUGAAGUCUUUGAAGCACAAACGAUCCUGCCAAAUUUGUGCUUUAGAAAAAGUUGGUCUGGCAGCUGUGUCAAGGAGACCCAUAAGGAGGCUGGAGCCAGGCAGGGGUGAGAGAUGGCGCUUGUAGACCCAUUUGGGAGGUGGUUCGGACCAGGCAGGGUUUUGACUAUUUGAAACAAAGAGGAGCUGAGGAGGAAUUCUGCCCCAAGAUGCUGGCUCACUGGCUAUGUGAGCUGGGGAGACUUCUUUCUCUGGGUUUCAGCUCCUCACCCACUUAUGGGGAUCAUAACCUUCAUGGGGUUAUAGUAAGGAUAUAAAACAUGUUCAGUGCUUAGAAGGGUGUCUGGGACACAGAGCUCAGUAAGUCUUAGCUGUUAUUUUCACGUCCUAAUCACGCUCAGGAAUAUCACUAUUAUUUACUCCUCAACAAAUAUUUAUUGAGCACAUUCUAUAUGUUCCACGCUGUUCUGAGGAUUUAGUAAUGAACAGAAGCAACAUGAGCCCAAGGUUCAGAAAGCUGACAUGAGGUGGGAGCCGGAAAAGAAACUGGAGUAGUAAAAAAAAUAAAACUU